AUAUAAGGAGACUUAUGUAGAGGUUCUAAGGUUAGACACAUAACCUAAUUACUCUCAUAACAUCAAUCGACCUCCUCUCCUCAACUGAUUACCCUUUAUCGGUUUUCUUCAUCACCAUCAUUAGAUUGCACCCUAAGGAGGAACCAGAUCAAGCUGACAAUCAUGUCAAACACUGUUGCUGCGUCUCCAUUCUGGAUUCUCUGCUGGCCUGUACUGAUACAAUCAAAGGUGGUUGUUGUGCUGAUAGGAGGAAUGUCUAUAUUGGCUGGUCAUAAACUGUUGAGCAACUUACAAAGUUCAUAUUGUACAGUGAAUGCAGCUGAUUUAGUACAACAUGGGUUGUGGGUGACAAUUUAUCAUCAUUAAUGCAAUCUAUUGAUGCAAGUGAAAAGGGUGAAAGUUGACAAAUUUGAAGGGUCGCAUUGAGUUUGUGAAUGUAUCAUUAAGCUAUACAUCAAGGGAGACGGUACAUGAAUUAAAAGAUGUAAGUAAACAUUACUUUGAAUCCUUAUGAAGUAGUUGCACUUGUAAGUUAUUGGUCGUGGGCAAAGCGCAAUUGUGAAUCUUCUACGUCGUCUAUAUAUGAACCAACAAGUGGCUAGGUUGGAAGGCAUUUUCAACCAAACCAUGGGUUUGGACCAAAAAUGGCAGAUUCAUGGGUUAAGAUAUUAUUCAGGAUUUUAGGUGCUAAACGAGAAGAUUCAAGUGCCAACAGUUAUACAAAAGAAUUAUGAUGGAGUAAUGAACCAUGAAAUUAAGGUCUUUCAACUAGACUGACUAUUUGGCCCGAUUAUCAUGAUGAGUGCCACAUCCGAUCAAGAAAAUGGUUAUGACAAUGAACAUCGGAGAUGUAGCGGCACUAUCGAUCAACGGAACAGAAGAGUACAUGAGGGUUUACAACAGUAAACAUAAUGUUCAUAACACCGUUACGGGUGGAUGCCAUGGAAGGGUGAUUUAGCGUUUAAGAUACUUCAUUAUGGGCAGUCGAGUAACAACAGUAAGGGAUCAGAUCUGUCAGGGAGGGUGAACUAGAGUGGCCGGAUACCGGCUGAUCAUGCCAACGUGUAUUCCGUCGGGAACUUCCUCCAAGGUAAUAAAUAGAGGGUUACAUCUUUUAAGUGAAAGUAGCCAAAAAAAUGGAGGGGUAUGAUAGACGGAGUUAUGGCCACCAAAAAAAAAAAAAGCAACUCGCCGGUUUUAAAUGAUGGACAACUACGGCUACCGAUGAGACAUCUAAUCCACAUAAAAAUGAUGAAGACGACAAAAGUCGAUUUACAUCAAGAGUAAUA